rnacentral:rRNA from 1 species
GAUGAACGCUGGCGGCGUGCUUAACACAUGCAAGUCGAACGGUGACCUCGAGAGCUUGCUCUCGGGCGAUCAGUGGCGAACGGGUGGGUAACACGUGAGUAACCUGCCCCAGACUCUGGAAUAACCCCGGGAAACCGGAGCUAAUACCGGAUACGAGACGGAGUCGCAUGGCUACCGUCUGGAAAGUUUUUCGGUCUGGGAUGGACUCGCGGCCUAUCAGCUUGUUGGUGAGGUAACGGCUCACCAAGGCGACGACGGGUAGCCGGCCUGAGAGGGCGACCGGCCACACUGGGACUGAGACACGGCCCAGACUCCUACGGGAGGCAGCAGUGGGGAAUAUUGCACAAUGGGCGAAAGCCUGAUGCAGCGACGCCGCGUGAGGGAUGACGGCCUUCGGGUUGUAAACCUCUUUCAGCAGGGAAGAAGCGAAAGCGACGGUACCUGCAGAAGAAGCACCGGCUAACUACGUGCCAGCCGCCGCAGUAAAAC